CAUUGCCUACGGGGGGCAGCAGUGAGGAAUAUUGGUCAAUGGUCGGGAGACUGAACCAGCCAAGCCGCGUGAGGGAGGAAGGUACAGAGUAUCGUAAACCUCUUUUGUCAGGGAACAAAGGCGGGGACGUGUCCCCGGGUGAGUGUACCUGAAGAAAAAGCAUCGGCUAACUCCGUGCCAGCAGCCGCGGUAAUACGGAGGAUGCGAGCGUUAUCCGGAUUUAUUGGGUUUAAAGGGUGCGCAGGCGGAAGCGCAAGUCAGCGGUAAAAUUGAGAGGCUCAACCUCUUCCCGCCGGUGCAACUGC
rnacentral:rRNA from 1 species